CCUACGGGAGGCAGCAGUGAGGAAUAUUGGUCAAUGGACGAGAGUCUGAACCAGCCAAGUAGCGUGAAGGAUGACUGCCCUAUGGGUUGUAAACUUCUUUUAUAUGGGAAUAAAAUGUUCCACGUGUGGGAUUUUGUAUGUACCAUAUGAAUAAGGAUCGGCUAACUCCGUGCCAGCAGCCGCGGUAAUACGGAGGAUCCGAACGUUAUCCGGAUUUAUUGGGUUUAAAGGGAGCGUAGGUGGGUUGUUAAGUCAGUUGUGAAAGUUUGCGGCUCAACCGUAAAAUUGCAGUUGAAACUGGCAGUCUUGAGUACAGUAGAGGUGGGCGGAAUUCGUGGUGUAGCGGUGAAAUGCUUAGAUAUCACGAAGAACUCCGAUUGCGAAGGCAGUUCACUGGACUGCAACUGACACUGAGGCUCGAAAGUGUGGGUAUCAAACAGGAUUAGAUACCCUUGUAGUC
rnacentral:rRNA from 1 species